GCUGGUGUGGCUCAAAGGCAGAGCAGCUGAUUUGUAAUCAGCAGGUUGUCAGUUCGAUUCUGACCACCAGCU
rnacentral:tRNA from 2 species